UGGGGACUUUUCCGCAAUGGGGGCAACCCUGACGGAGCAACGCCGCGUGCGGGAGGAAGGCCUUUGGGUUGUAAACCGCUUUUCUCAGGGAAGAAGCUCUGACGGUACCUGAGGAAUCAGCCUCGGCUAACUCCGUGCCAGCAGCCGCGGUAAUACGGAGGGGGUUAGCGUUGUUCGGAAUUACUGGGCGUAAAGCGCGCGUAGGCGGACUAUUAAGUCAGGGGUGAAAUCCCGGGGCUCAACCCCGGAACUGCCUUUGAUACUGGUAGUCUUGAGUUCGAGAGAGGUGAGUGGAAUUCCGAGUGUAGAGGUGAAAUUCGUAGAUAUUCGGAGGAACACCAGUGGCGAAGGCGGCUCACUGGCUCGAUACUGACGCUGAGGUGCGAAAGUGUGGGGAGCAAACAGGAUUAGAUACCCCGGUAGUCC
rnacentral:rRNA from 1 species